GAAGUAUAACUUCAAUAAUAAUAAUAUGUAAUCAUUGUGAUAGUUGAUCUGUAAUUAAUUAUAAAAAUAUCUGGAGUAUUGCAUACAAGACUGGAAACGUAUCGUGCAAUGUGAAUGUUAUUGUUUUUUUUUUUUAAGUUACUUUUUUGAAGUUAUUUUUGAGGUUAUUGAGGUUAUUGAGGUUAUUUGAGGUUAUAUUCGUUUUGGUACGCGAAAGAAGCAUAACUUCUUACUAUGGAGGAUAAAGAGUGGCGCUGGUGUAGACAAAGGGUAUGGUAUGAAUAUAGCAAUUGUAGACAAAUUGAA
rnacentral:lncRNA from 1 species